GCGAGGCACGAAGGGCCGCUCAGGGCGCAGGCCCAGAUCCCUGAGAGGUCGGAAAGGGUGGAUCCCUUCCUCAGAUGCCGGUUUUAUUCCCAACGUCGGGCCUCGGUUUUGUUUCCUCCUUUCGCGUCUUUCCCGGACCCGCGCCCUGUGGAGAGAUUUUCUUCCCCCUUUACCCCCUGUCCGGGCCACAUCUGGCAGGAGGCUUCUCGGAAGCUGAGACAUCAUCCCUAGGUACAAAGAAAUCAGAUUUCAGGAAGAUCAAUUCAAAUAUUUGUUUGGCAUUUAAAGGAAUUUUAAGAAAGUAUGUUCCCAUGUUGAUGGAUGUGGAGGAAAGACGCAAGCGAAGGUGUUACUCCCAACCAGGGCACUUAUUUGCUGUGAGAUCUUUGGCUUGUUCCCUGGGUCUCCAUGGCUCACAUCUGUCACACAAGGGGAAGACUUGCCUUUGAGGGACAACUGGGAGGAAAACACAAGAUCCAGACAACAAAGUCUUUUGGAAAGUUAAAAGUACUAUUCAAAACCUAAGUAGUAGUAGUAGUAACUAUUUCUCAUGCUUAAUUCUCAAAAUACUAUGGAGGGAAACUGGAACCUAGACAUUGGUUCCACUUGCAAGAUUAGAACAAGAUGGAUGAAGAAUGUUCCGUGAAUUCCAAAGCAACUCAGUGGUGAGCCUGCUAUAUCUGCCUUUGUCCAGCCCAAGGAAAUAUCCUCAAAGCUGGAGGUCAGUGGUCAGAUGUCUUCAAAGUGGGAACAGCAGCAUCUAUUUCCAGAUCCCCAGCUUUGCGUGAAAGGAGGGCUGCUUGCUCACACAGGUUCUCCUUCUCAAAGCUGCUUUCAUAAUCUGCCCUCCUCUUGCUUUACAAAAGGAAUGCAUACUCUUAACCUGCCCUGAACUGCCCCUGGGAGCAAAAACCUCUGGGGCACCAAACAAAGGGACACUUUGAAAUAUAGAUUUCUGAAAAGGCUCCUUUAAUAAUUAAUCAAAGGGGGAAGAAAAACUGCCUACUUUUUGUCUUCCAUUGUUUUGUACAUUUUUUUAUUGGGAGGAUUUGGCCUCCAUUGGGAUAUUUUGAAUUCAGAUAUUGUGUAGUGGGAUAAUGGAGUGGAAAUGACUUCACCUCUUCCAUCUCUAGUUUAUUAUUGAAAAAACUUUGCUCCUAGCAACAACCUCCUGAAAUCAAAGCAAACAUCAAAUCCUCCAAGUACCUUCCCAGCCCCCCUCCCUGCAUAUUUAAGAUAAACCAUUCCAUUCUGUACAUUUUAUUCAGUACUCACCCCAGAAUGUCUUUCGUGGAAAGAAAAGCUACCUUCAAAGGGGUACAAGUAAAUAACGCUGAUUCCUUUCAAGGAAACUUCAUCUGGGACUAUCAAAUUAUUCAAGAUACACCGGAUAAAUUCGCCAACAAAACUGUCAUGUGAUUUCUUUCAGAUUUUCUGUGCAUUAAUCAAUAUUGUAGUUAAUAAGGUAGUUUUAUCAAAACAUAUCAUGAAAUAUUUACUCCAAUACCAGUCAGUCCUCAUCUGAUUUAACUUAUAAAAUGUUUAAUGAGGGGCGCAUGGGUGGCUCAGUGGGCGAAGCAUCCGACUUCGGCUCAGGUCAUGAUCUCACAGUUUGUGGUUUCGAGCCUCUCUUCGGGCUCUGUGCUGACAGCUCAGAGCCUGGAGUCUGCUUCAGAUUCUGUGUCUCCCUUUCUCUCUCUCCUCCCCUGCUCAUGCUCUGUUUCUCUCAGAAAAUAAAAAUAAACAUUUAAAAAAAAUUUUUUUAAUGUUUAAUGAUGCAAAUCCUGGACUAAUUAGUGCAAUAUGCCUUUCUCUUUCAUUGGAAAAGUUCAAUCAUGAUGUCAAACAGGAGCACCGGGGUGGCUCAUUCGGUUAAGCGUCCGACUUCAGCUCAGAUCACCAUCUCAUGGUUCCUGGGUUCAAACCUCGCAUUGGGCUCUGUGCUGACAGCUCAGAGCCUGGAGCCUGCUUCGGAUUCUGUGUCUCCCUCUCUCUCUGCCUCUGCCCCAUUCACACUCUGUGUCUCUCUGUCAAAAAUAAAUAAACAUUAAAAAAAAAACAUGAUGUCAAAAGUAAUAAAGUUAAUUCUGUUUUUUAUGCAUCAUUUUAUUUUCAAAAGCUGAAUACCUGAUUUUUAUAUAUGCACAUGCACACAUCCAAGAAAUAAAAAAAAAUCCUCAUAUUCCUUACUUUGUAAAUAACUCACAAUAUUAGUCACAUAACAUAUUGGAACAUAUAUGGCAAAUA